rnacentral:lncRNA from 1 species
CCGAAAUUUCCUCCGACUCCUCGACUCCGACUCCGACUCCACAGCCCUGCUAAAGACAAAAAGUAAUUGCAGACUUCAACAAUUAUAAUCUUUACAUUCUAUUCUCUGUACCAUAUAACUCAUUUCCCAUACUGAGAUAUGUUUUGACAACGCUAAAGCAAUACUAUAAUAAUGAUUAACAUGUUUGUGUUACAGGGGCGCGGGUGAGAGUGACGGCACUAUCUAUGGGGACUAUGACGAGGCAGCAUGGCACGGUCAGGAGGGACACCCCCCAUCAACUACCCGCUCUGUGCCUUCACCGCUCACCAGGGGCGCGGGUGAGAGUGACGGCACUAUCUAUGGGGACUAUGACGAGGCAGCAUGGCACGGUCAGGAGGGACACCCCCCAUCAACUACCCGCUCUGUGCCUUCACCGCUCACCAGGUUAUGGACGAGUACCGCAAAUACGUCACGAACAACGAAACUUUUGUAUAGACAACCGAUAAAUGUAUAAAAAAUAUAUGAUUUGACGUUGAUGAAUACCAUGAAAUGUGAUUAAUUACAUGGACAAUAAAGCCUGUAAUAUACUAUA